rnacentral:sRNA from 2 species
UUGACAAUUGGACCGUGAAGGCAUACUUUUCAGGAGUGAGGGUUGAGCGGGGUUUCCCCCGCCCUGGUAGGCUUAGUAAGCCGGGAAGCUAAUGACUAAGAGCACCACGAUGAUGAGUAUCUUCAUCAUGACCCUUUCCUUAUU